rnacentral:tRNA from 1 species
GCGGGCUUGGCGGAAACGGUAGACGCGCCAGCCUUGGGAGCUGGUGGGCCUUAAACCUUGUCGAGAGGCGGCCCGUGCGAGUUCGAGUCUCGUUGCCCGCA